rnacentral:rRNA from 1 species
CCCUUAGAUGUUCUGGGCCGCACGCGCGCUACACUGAUGCAUUCAACGAGCCUAUCCUUGACCGACAGGUCCGGGUAAUCUUUGAAUCUGCAUCGUGACGGGGAUAGAUUAUUGCAAUUAUUAAUCUUCAACGAGGAAUGCCUAGUAGGCGCAAGUCAUCAGCUUGCGUCGAUUACGUCCCUGCCCUUUGUACACACCGCCCGUCGCUCCUACCGAUUGGGUGUGCUGGUGAAAUGUUCGGAUCGGCCGUUUGUCGCGGUUUCCGCUGCUCGUGGCUGAGAAGUUCAUUAAACCCUCCCACCUAGAGGAAGGAGAAGUCGUAACA